UUAUGGACUAGCAGGCUGAAAG
rnacentral:misc_RNA from 1 species